UUUCCGUAGGUGGACCUGCGGAAGGAUCAUUAUUGUAUAACCGAGGUGCGAGGGCUGUCGCUGACCCGAAAGGUCGUGCACGCCCGAGUGCCCUCACACACAUCCAUCUCACCCCUAUGUGCACCACCGCGUGGGUCCCCCUUUGGCUUGUUCGGAGGGGGGCUUACGUUUUCACACAAACUUUGUAUGCAGUGUAGAAUGUAUUUUUUUGUUUUUGCGAUCACGCAAUCAAUACAACUUUCAACAACGGAUCUCUUGGCUCCC
rnacentral:misc_RNA from 1 species